GCGCGGAUGCCCGAGUGGUCUAAGGGAGCGGCCUGCAAAGCCGUGAUUCGCGGGUUCAAAUCCCGCUCCGCGCU
rnacentral:tRNA from 1 species